UACGUAGGUGACCAGCGUUGUCCGGAUUUACUGGGCGUAAAGAGCGCGCAGGCGGUCGUUCAAGUCGAGUGUGAAAGCCCCCGGCUCAACUGGGGAGGGUCAUUCGAUACUGAUCGACUCGAAGGCAGGAGAGGGAAGUGGAAUUCCCGGUGUAGUGGUGAAAUGCGUAGAUAUCGGGAGGAACACCAGUGGCGAAGGCGACUUCCUGGUCCAGCACCGACGUUCAGGCACGAAAGCGUGGGGAGCAAACAGG
rnacentral:rRNA from 1 species